rnacentral:misc_RNA from 1 species
AGGAGAAAAAAAAAAAAAAAAACCUAACCAUUGCUAACCUUUUAGUUAAUACUUAACAAAUGCAACAAUAAAUGUUAGAAAUUAAAUGUUUAUGUAUUAGUGUAUACUUUCUCAAUAGAUUGUCACCAAAUCCAAUGGUGAAACAAUAAUUGCUUUCAUAAAUAUGACACCAUACAAUUUUUUUUCAUGUUUCUAGGUCUGAACAUUAUUUACUUAUCCAGACAUCAAUCAUUACUAUUGAAAUUCAAGAAGUGGAAAACACUAAUGAACAAGUUAAAUCAGAAAUUCACAAGUUUUCAAGAAAAUUGUGAAAGUGAAUACUUGUAAUAUUGUAAAAUUCGUAACAAGUGUAAAUUUUAACAGAAAAGCAUUCAUAAAGAUGAAUAAAUUUUAACAGAAAAGCAUUCAUAAAGAUGAA